rnacentral:rRNA from 1 species
UUAAAUUGAAGAGUUUGAUCAUGGCUCAGAUUGAACGCUGGCGGCAGGCUUAACACAUGCAAGUCGAACGGUAACAUGAGUGCUUGCACUUGAUGACGAGUGGCGGACGGGUGAGUAAGGUAUGGGGAUCUGCCGAGUGGCGAGGGACAACAGUUGGAAACGACUGCUAAUACCUCAUAAAGUUGAGA